rnacentral:rRNA from 1 species
UGGAAGAAGUCGUCGAAGGUGGAAUCAAUAACUGGGGUGAAGUCGUAACAAGGUAGCCGUAUCGGAAGGUGCGGCUGGAUCACCUCCUUU